rnacentral:sRNA from 22 species
UUGUUAGAAUGCGCCCCGUCAUUGGGGAGUAGCCGCUCUUCACCGCGAAGAGGCUUGCGUCAACACACUUGGUCCAUCGGACCAUGGCGCAGGCAGCUCCUGGCCUGGCAAGACCUUUGACCACGAAGCCUCCGUUUUGGCCGGGGAUGCGUCGUGGUCAAUCGUCUCUGUACACCGGCCUUGGACAUU